CUCCUGCUUGCUUAAAUUCUUAUCAAGGAGUGCAAUAAGAUCGAAGGUCAUGUCCAGCAGUGCAAGAGAUUGGUCCUGCAAUACAUUCCCCUUAUCAUGGUCAAUGGCGAGAAGUUCCUUGAGAAGAAUAAUGAUGUGUGCGUACAAGCGUGUAUGAAUGUAACUGUGUGGAUGUAAUAAAAGAAUAGAAAAAAUUGAUUUCUUUUUUUUUGUA